UAGGGAAUAUUGCUGCAAUGGAGGCGAACUCUGACGCAGCGACGCCGCGUGAGUGAUGAAGGUCUUCGGAUCGUAAAGCUCUGUCCUUGGGGAAGAAGAUGACGGUACCCAAGGAGGAAGCCCCGGCUAACUACGUGCCAGCAGCCGCGGUAAUACGUAGGGGGCAAGCGUUGUCCGGAAUUAUUGGGCGUAAGGGGUGCGUAGGCGGCCUUUUAAGUC
rnacentral:rRNA from 1 species